CCUACGGGAGGCUGCAGUGGGGAAUAUUGGACAAUGGGGGGAACCCUGAUCCAGCGACGCCGCGUGAGUGAAGAAGUAUUUCGGUAUGUAAAGCUCUAUCAGCAGGGAAGAAAGAAAUGACGGUACCUGACUAAGAAGCCCCGGCUAACUACGUGCCAGCAGCCGCGGUACUACGUAGGGGGCAAGCGUUAUCCGGAUUUACUGGGUGUAAAGGGAGCGUAGACGGCGAUGCAAGUCUGAAGUGAAAGGCGGGGGCCCAACCCCCGGACUGCUUUGGAAACUGUAUGGCUGGAGUGCAGGAGAGGUAAGUGGAAUUCCUAGUGUAGCGGUGAAAUGCGUAGAUAUUAGGAGGAACACCAGUGGCGAAGGCGGCUUACUGGACUGUAACUGACGUUGAGGCUCGAAAGCGUGGGGAGCAAACAGGAUUAGAUACCCUAGUAGUC
rnacentral:rRNA from 1 species